CCUUCUCCAAUUUCCACAUUACGCAAUCCUUUAUGAUUUCCUGAGUUUUGAAAUACCUACGUAUGGCUCAAUCCGUAAUGCAUUACUCAGAAAAGCUAUGAUAGAUUCCACCAGGAAAAUUGUGACUGAGGGGGCUCGGGCAGCAUAUAACAGGGAGUUGCUCCUCACCCAUCAGUUUGAAACAGGCAUUCAAUCAUGGAAUCCACUCUCACUGCCCGGCAGAUCAUGGGCCUGAUCUGGGUGGUGGCCAUGCUCCAGGUGUCUGGUGCAAUUGAUUCUAAGUUAUCAACAUGCUGCUCUAAAACCAGCCAAGCUCCUUUUAAAGCGCCAGUCAAGGGAUGCAGGAUUCAUCCGAAAUCAGAGUUCUGCGCUCAUGCAGUUCAAUUUUUCGGUGAAGACGGAAACACAUACUGCAGCCGCCCUGGAUUAAGAUGGGUUGCUGCUAAGAUUGCUAUAUUGGCAAAGAAUGGCACGCAAUGCUCGGAUCAUACAAAGUCAGCAUAAUAAGAAGUGGAUUGAAUGUGUGAUUUUUUUAUUUCCUAAUGCUUUUUUAUGCAUAGAAUUUUUUUCAGUGUAUCCAAAAAAUGCAUUGUUUUUAGUAUGAUCAUUUAGUUUAUAAUUAUUGUGAGGAAAAAUGAGAGAUGACUAGAUGGGCAUAAUUACUGUUUACAAUAUUAGGAUUAUGGCUAAUAUUUUAUACUGAAACAAGACUAAAGUUUACAGAUUUGUAUUGUGUUAAUAUAUUUGUUUGAGUUU
rnacentral:lncRNA from 1 species